rnacentral:rRNA from 1 species
GAUGAACGCUGGCGGCGUGCCUAAUACAUGCAAGUCGAGCGAACGGACGAGAAGCUUGCUUCUCUGAUGUUAGCGGCGGACGGGUGAGUAACACGUGGAUAACCUACCUAUAAGACUGGGAUAACUUCGGGAAACCGUAGCUAAUACCGGAUAAUAUUUUGAACCGCAUGGUUCAAAAGUGAAAGACGGUCUUGCUGUCACUUAUAGAUGGAUCCGCGCUGCAUUAGCUAGUUGGUAAGGUAACGGCUUACCAAGGCAACGAUGCAUAGCCGACCUGAGAGGGUGAUCGGCCACACUGGAACUGAGACACGGUCCAGACUCCUACGGGAGGCAGCGGUAGGGAAUCUUCCGCAAUGGGCGAAAGCCUGACGGAGCAACGCCGCGUGAGCGAUGAAGGUCUUCGGAUCGUAAAACUCUGUUAUUAGGGAAGAACAUAUGUGUAAGUAACUGUGCACAUCUUGACGGUACCUAAUCAGAAAGCCACGGCUAACUACGUG